ACCCACGUGCGCGCGCACACACGCCCCCUUCCUCCAUUCCGCUGCUCCUCAUUUUGAAGCGCAACGCUGCACACUCUUGUUGCAAAAUGGCAAUGAAAUUGGCAUACUGGGAUAUUCGUGGGCUUGCUCAACCAAUCCGUCUGCUGUUGGAGUACACUGGUACUAAGUAUGAGGAGAAGUUCUAUUCUUGUGGCGAUGCUCCCAACUAUGACAAAAGCUGUUGGUUUAAUGAGAAAGAGAAACUUGGGAUGGACUUUCCUAAUUUGCCCUACCUAGAGGAUGGAGACAGGAAAGUGGUCCAAAGCAAUGCCAUAUUGAGAUACAUCGCCCGCAAGCACAACCUCUGUGGGGAAACUGAAGAGGAGCAGGUGAGAGUUGACAUCUUGGAAAACCAGGCGAUGGACUUCCGCAAUGGUUUUGUCCAGCUCUGCUAUGGAGACUUUGACAAAAACAAAUCAUGCUACACUGACAAACUGCCAGGAACUCUAAAGCAGUUCUCCAACUUCCUUGGUGACAGGAAGUGGUUUGCUGGGGACAAGAUCACAUUUGUGGACUUCACCAUGUAUGAGUUGUUGGAUCAGCAUCGUAUGUUUGACCCAGCGUGCCUGGAUGACUACAAAAACCUUAGAUGCUUUCUUGAACGCUUUGAGAGUCUUGAGAAGAUUGCGGAAUACAUGAAGUCAAACAGGUUCAUGAAAACACCAGUGAACAACAAGAUGGCCAAAUGGGGAAACAAGAAGGAGUGAAGCGAACAAGAUUGUGUCUUGAUAAAGCAUCAUAAGCUUGCUCAACCAAUCCGUCUGCUGUUGGAGUACACUGGUACUAAGUAUGAGGAGAAGUUCUAUUCUUGUGGCGAUGCUCCCAACUAUGACAAAAGCUGCUGGUUUAAUGAGAAAGAGAAACUUGGGAUGGACUUUCCUAAUUAGCCCUACCUAGAGGAUGGAGACAGGAAAGUGGUCCAAAGCAAUGCCAUAUUGAGAUACAUCGCCCGCAAGCACAACCUCUGUGGGGAAACUGAAGAGGAGCAGAUGAGAGUUGACAUCUUGGAAAACCAGGCGAUGGAUUUCCGCAAUGGUUUUGCCCAGCUCUGCUAUGGAGACUUUG